rnacentral:rRNA from 1 species
GAUGAACGCUGGCGGCGUGCCUAAUACAUGCAAGUCGAGCGAACAGACGAGGAGCUUGCUCCUUUGACGUUAGCGGCGGACGGGUGAGUAACACGUGGGUAACCUACCUAUAAGACUGGGAUAACUUCGGGAAACCGGAGCUAAUACCGGAUAAUAUUUCGAACUGCAUGGUUCGAUAGUGAAAGAUGGCUUUGCUAUCACUUAUAGAUGGACCUGCGCCGUAUUAGCUAGUUGGUAAGGUAACGGCUUACCAAGGCAACGAUACGUAGCGACCUGAGAGGGUGAUCGGCCACACUGGAACUGAGACACGGUCCAGACUCCUACGGGAGGCAGCAGUAGGGAAUCUUCCGCAAUGGGCGAAAGCCUGACGGAGCAACGCCGCGUGAGUGAUGAUGGUCUUCGGAUCGUAAAACUCUAGUUAUUAGGGAAGAACAAACGUGUAAGUAACUGUGCACGUCUUGACGGUACCUAAUCAGAAAG